UCUGACCUGAAAAGUAACUGCUGAGAAAUAUGACAAGAAACUGAUGAGGAUUCUUUUGUUGUGGACUUCUAGUGAGUCUGAACCUGGGACACGACGAUGAGAGCUAUACCUAGAGCAUGUACAUAAGGAAUCAAACUUCAUAGAAUCAAACAUCAAACACUGAUAUCAUCCUUGUGGGGCUCUUUGGUAAAUCCA